rnacentral:rRNA from 1 species
CAUUCACGGAGAGUUUGAUCCUGGCUCAGGACGAACGCUGGCGGCGUGCUUAACACAUGCAAGUCGAACGAUGAAGCCCUUCGGGGUGGAUUAGUGGCGAACGGGUGAGUAACACGUGGGCAAUCUGCCCUUCACUCUGGGACAAGCCCUGGAAACGGGGUCUAAUACCGGAUAACACCGGCUUCCGCAUGGAAGCUGGUUGAAAGCUCCGGCGAAAGCCUGAUGCAGCGACGCCGCGUGAGGGAUGACGGCCUUCGGGUUGUAAACCUCUUUCAGCAGGGAAGAAGCGAAAGUGACGGUACCUGCAGAAGAAGCGCCGGCUAACUACGUGCCAGCAGCCGCGGUAAUACGUAGGGCGCAAGCGUUGUCCGGAAUUAUUGGGCGUAAAGAGCUCGUAGGCGGCUUGUCACGUCGGGUGUGAAAGCCCGGGGCUUAACCCCGGGUCUGCAUCCGAUACGGGCAGGCUAGAGUGUGGUAGGGGAGAUCGGAAUUCCUGGUGUAGCGGUGAAAUGCGCAGAUAUCAGGAGGAACACCGGUGGCGAAGGCGGAUCUCUGGGCCAUUACUGACGCUGAGGAGCGAAAGCGUGGGGAGCGAACAGGAUUAGAUACCCUGGUAGUCCACGCCGUAAACGUUGGAUACAGGUGGUGCAUGGCUGUCGUCAGCUCGUGUCGUGAGAUGUUGGGUUAAGUCCCGCAACGAGCGCAACCCUUGUCCUGUGUUGCCAGCAUGCCCUUCGGGGUGAUGGGGACUCACAGGAGACCGCCGGGGUCAACUCGGAGGAAGGUGGGGACGACGUCAAGUCAUCAUGCCCCUUAUGUCUUGGGCUGCACACGUGCUACAAUGGCCGGUACAAAGAGCUGCGAUGCCGCGAGGCGGAGCGAAUCUCAAAAAGCCGGUCUCAGUUCGGAUUGGGGUCUGCAACUCGACCCCAUGAAGUCGGAGUUGCUAGUAAUCGCAGAUCAGCAUUGCUGCGGUGAAUACGUUCCCGGGCCUUGUACACACCGCCCGUCACGUCACGAAAGUCGGUAACACCCGAAGCCGGUGGCCCAACCCCUUGUGGGAGGGAGCUGUCGAAGGUGGGACUGGCGAUUGGGACGAAGUCGUAACAAGGUAGCCGUACCGGAAGGUGCGGCUGGAUCACCUCCUUUCUA